UACUUAGUAUGAAAAUGCUCGUAUCUUUCGCAAGUUUACUGUUACCAAAAUUCGUUCCGAAGAAUGUUAUCGAUGUAGACUUUUUCGAAGUUUAUCAUCGUCAUCUUCUGAAUAAUAAUAAUGACUGGAACUCCAUACCAGUCUUUGGCUGCCCAAGUGCAUUGUGGGAAAGCAAGGAAUGCAUUAAGAACUACUCUUGGAACUGUGGGUCUGUGAUAAAAUGCAGAAACAUGAUUAAUUAUUUUGUUUUAAGUUUCAUAAGUUAUGUAGGGUUUGGAAAGUUAAGUAUUCCCUGCCUAAUCUGACAUCAGUGCAACUUUGCAGUCAUGGCGCCUUUGGUUCGGCUUUGUUAUUGUGUCCCAAGUGCAACUUGUCCUUGAAUAAUAGUGAAUAACACCACCUUUCACCAUGGAAGUUAAUUUUGUCAAUGAACCACAGUUUAACUGUCCUCAAUCAGACACCUAACGCAUUCAGAAUCUAAGUAAUAUCCUGACUAGUCUGAAGAUGUCUAUUCUGUCAAUAGUUUCUGAUUUGGAUUUAGAAUGCACCAAAACCAGGCGGUACUAUCUCCUUGGGGGAGAUAUCUCCUCCUCUUCCUCUUCACGCCGUCACUAAUGGUUUCUUCAAUGGUUGACUCGGAUUGGAUCUAUGCCCAUGAGAAUAUUACCGACCGCGUCCAAGUCUUCGAUCUCUACCCAGAGGACAAUGUCAACUCAUCGGCCAUAGUUAAGCUGCUUUUCAAUGAGUCUUCAAUACUUCCCCCUUGCACCGUCUGCUUCUGGAUGUGUCCAGCAUAUUUCAAUACCACUUCAAUACCUUUCACUCUUGCCAGUCCAAACUUCAUUUUUUUUCUUGGCUGUAAGUUUUCCUAGAUCAUUGCAUUUACACAUGUCCUAUUAUUUUGUUAUCUAAUUUGGUAUAUACGUACUACAAAGUUGUUAUGAUAUAUAUGCCUCUCUUGCUGAUGGUGGUAUGCUGAUUUUAUUAGCCAGUGUCCAUGAGGAAAGCAUUUUCUUGAGAUAUUCCAUUUUGUUGGGGACUAACCAACAGGCAUACAAUUCAUGAAAAUUUUUGCUUAUUUUCAAAAACAGUUAUAACAUACAAGACCUCAGUUAUGCACUAAGAUAAUAAAUCACUGAUUAGUAAAAGGGGUAUUCCUGAUGGACAAAAUGAGGGUAAAAGAGUCAGCCUUAAAAAUUAAAGAUAGAUGAUGAGGAUAUAGCCAUCUGCACUCUAGUAUCUAUAGAAUUGUCAGUCCUGUAGUAUUUUGCCACUGGUUGUUCAUUAGUGAUAUACAGCCAACCUCCUUAUUCGCGGACUCCGGAAUUGCAGACUUUUCUUUGGACCAUAUCUACCCCUUAUUUGUGGGAAGUUCGCCUGUUCACAGGUUUUC